rnacentral:tRNA from 1 species
GUUUCUGUAGCUCAGCGGUAUAAGAGCAGUCAUUCUAGUAUCAGACAGUCAUGGGUUUAAAUCCCAUUGGACACA